AAUACAUCUGCAUCAAGCUCUGCCUGUGCACCAGCGGGAAGAAUGCUCGUGAUUACUCCUGAGCUGACAGCACCUUCUCAUGAUCUGGACUCUAAAAGAAAAAAAAAAAGUCAAGUUAUUCAUCAUGGGUCCACAUAUUGAAAAUAUGUGCAGUUUGAACAUUUUCCUGAAGGAGAGCUCAACUGACAAGAGGACUAUUCAAUUUUUGUUUUCAUGUCAAGUUCAACACCGCAAACGAGUUCUGUUGAAGUGAAAAGGCAAUAAAGCACUGAAUACUCCCCCUGCUGUAGCUCAAUGCAGAAGACAUAAAAGGAAGGACGAGAAACGGAAGAAGAAUCUUUUAUCAAAAAAACAAUUUGAUUGUAUCUGAGCCAUUCCAUGUGGGCAGCAUGAUUAAGAAAAAAUCUACGACUUAUAAAACACAGACC